GGCGGCCGCGUGGGCUCCGGGGCGCGGGCGCCGCCUCUCCCCGGGCGCCGGGAGAGCAGGCAGAUGAACGCGAGGCGCUGCCUGCUCGGCCUCACCUUUUGCACCUGCUACCUGGCCUCUCACCUCACGAACAAGUAUGUCCUAUCUGUCCUGAAAUUUACCUACCCUACAUUAUUCCAAGGGUGGCAGACAUUCAUCGGUGGACUUCUGCUUCAUGUGUCAUGGAAGCUGGGCUGGGUGGAGAUCAACAGCAGUCCAAGAUCCAAUGUUUUGACAUGGCUUCCUGCUUCACUGCUGUUUGUGGGUAUAAUCUAUGCAGGGUCCAGAGCAUUGUCUAGACUGGCUGUUCCUGUGUUUUUCAUUUUGCAUAAUGUAGCUGAAGUCCUCAUCUGUGGGUACCAGAAGUAUGUCUGGAAAGAGAAAACAUCGUUCACAAAGAUCUGUAGUGCCCUCUUCCUCUUGGCUGCUGCAGGGUGCUUUCCCUUCCAGGACUCUGAGCUCGAUCCAGAUGGAUAUUUUUGGGCUGUAAUUCAUGUAUUUUGUGUAGGGGCUUACAGAAUACUGCGGAAGGCCCAGAAGCCCAGUGUGUUAAGUGACAUUGACCAGCAAUACUUAAACUAUAUAUUCAGUAUGGUGCUCCUGGCAUUUGCAUCUCACCCCACAGGUGACCUCUUCAGUGUCCUGGACUUUCCAUUCCUGUACUUCUACAGAUUCCACGGCAGCUGCUGGGCCAGUGGAGUUUUAGGAUUCCUCCUCAUGCUCAGUACAGUAAAGCUAAGAAGUGCUCUGGCCCCUGGGCAGUGUGCGGCCUGGAUCUUCUUUGCUAAGCGUUCACAGACACAAUGAGGCCAGCUGCCUGACUCCUGGCAGACAGGAUUCCUCCCAAGUUCCAGAACCGUGUGGAGAUGCAGAGGCGCAGGCCUGGCUGAGGAUAUUCCCGGCAAGGGACACCUCCCUUUUCUCGGGGAGGGCUAAGUCUCAUGAAAGAGGCAGAGAGUAGGCAGAAAAGAUGGAUAAAGGAAGCCUCCAAGAGCUGAUGAAGAAGGGCAAAGGAGGACCACGAGAUGGCCUACAAGAUAAAGCUGCUUGCUGCCAUAGGAGCCGACAUGGUGGAAAGAGAACCAACUUCUGUACAGGUGCACUGUGUCAUCACAGCCGGCCUGUCGCUGGUGCUGUUUGAUGUCAUCCUGACCAGAGCAACUGUGGGAUGCUUCCUGCUCGGUGGACUUGGUGAGGCCCUGCUGGUUUUCUCAGAGCGGAGAAGUUCCUGAUGAAGAUGGGCAAGAAAAGGAAGCACACUUUGCAGGAGAGCCAUAGGAAGAGCACACCACAGUGAGCCCGAGCCGGGGUCUCUGCUGGACAGCACCCGUGACCUGUGCACGCCCCGACCAAGCUACGCUCACUGGCUGCUGAUGAUCUGAACACCCCUCUCUCAUCGCUUAGAGAAGGACUUCCAGGGACCUUGCGCUGCUGCUGUAGAGAACGGGUCCAUCUUACUUUUUUUUUUUUUUUUCAUGCUGAACCAUCCCUCUCUGCUGCACCCAAUUCUUCAGAAUCAGGAAGCAGAGGAUUUCAUUGUUGUUGUUUUCUUUUCUUUUUUGUUUGUUUGUUUUUUGUUUUGUUUGUUUUGUUUGUUUGUUUGUUUGUUUUGAGACAGGGUUUCUCUGUGUAGCCUUGGCUGUCCUGGACUCCCUUUGUAGACCAGGCUGAACUCAGAGAUCUGCCCGCCUCUGCCUCCUGAGUGCUGGAAUUACGGGCAUGCGCCACCGCGUCUGGCUGAAGCAGAGGACCUUAGUGGGAUGGCUGUGUGAGCUGGAUGGACAACAGCCUCUGGACCUAACUGCCUCCUACCAGAUACGCUCAGUAACUGAGGUCACAGACCAUGGCGUCUUGUUGCGUUCAGGAGGUUGUUUUGUGUCUUUACAUCUUGGAGUCUCUUAUACCCCUUGAUUUUUAUGGUGCACCCUGGAGCCCAUGCCCCCCAACCAAAAAAAAAAAAACAAGACACACAUGUUCCUGAGGGCCCAUGGAGGGUAGGGCCAGAGGGGUGGGAGUGAGGGUGAGUUCCGGACCACGUGAGUAGUAGCCUUCGUGCUUGGUGUUGGUUUAUUUCCAGCUUCUAAAUUCCCCUUGGUUCUUGUGAAUUUGUCAGGAUGUGCUGAAUUCUGUAGACGAUUGACCACCACUAGGUUAGGCUUGUGACUAAUCAGUUAAUUAUCUGAAGUCUUCUAAGCACUGUGUAGCCCAGAUGGUCCUUAAUGCCUCACCUUCUGCCUCCGCCUCCGAGUGCUGGGAUUGCAGGCACGUACUACCAUUCUUAGCUUUUGUUCCCAAGUUAGCUAGCAUAUGUAACCCUUCAUAACUCAGAAGAGAUCUCAGGUCAUUGAGCACUGGGUUUAAUCUCUUAUACCAGAUUAAUAAUUCAAGUCCCAUAGCUUGCCACUAGAUAAGAAAACUACUUUAUAUAUAUAAAAUAAUCGCUUGAUUCUGAAUCCACCAAGGCUUAAGAAAAUAAUACUGAAUAUUUCUUCCUAAUGAUUUCACAAAUAUUUGAUUAUUUUGGCAAGUCUGGGAGAGUUUGGGUCAUAUUGAGGUCACUUCUCCAACCCUGAAGUACAGGAGACCCAUGUCAUUGCUAGAGACACUUUGGGCUCUGAGAAUGACUUCUUGUCACAGGCUCAGUCCCAGGAUGAAUGAAGUCAGCUCCAUUAUUGCUGAUUUUUUCCCCCAACUUGUUGGUUAAAAAAAGGAAAUGAAACAGUAGGAUGGAUUUAUAUAUUUAGAAUGUGGGGACCUUUAGUUCAUGUCCUUUUCUGAUCUCUGCUUAUCAUUUAAGGUGAAAACGUUCCAAGACUUCAUGCUCAUGUUGUUUUCAAUUUCCUUUCUUAGAACAUUUUUACAUGUAGUCAUUCUAUUAUUUUUAUGCCUGUUACCCAUGAAGGUUGGAAGAAGGCGUCAGAUCCACAGAAGUGGAGUUACAGGCAAUAGUGAAUCGCCAUGAGCUGGACCUGUGUGCUCGCAAGAGUUACACGUGCUCUUACCCACUGAGCCUGCAAUUUUCUUUUUUAAGUAUUUUUAUUUUAAAUUAUGUGGAUGUUUAUAAGUAUGUGCAUAAUGGCUGCAGAUGUCCCAAGUAGGCCAGAAGAGAAUAUUGGGCUCCUGGAGACAGAAGUCGAGGAGGUUGUGAGCUGCCCAGUGUGGGUGUUGGGGACAAAGUCCGGCUCUCUGCUAGAGCAGGACUCGCUCUUAACUGAGCGUGUUUCUGACUCUUGUUCUUCAUCUGUUGUAACAAGCUAGUAACAUAAUAAUGUCCUGUAGCUCAAAUAGAGAAUCUAGGUUUAAAUAUUUCCUUUUUUCAGUUUUCACAGAACUCUAUUGCCCCCUGCCCCCAUUUGAAAAAGGAGGUUAUCUAUCCAAAUGCCAUUCUGUGCCUGUCCUUCAAAAUGUCAUUAAAGCGGGUGGAGAGUCCUCAGCUGGAAAGAACCGCACAGCUGCCAAUCCCAGUCCCGUUUCUAACAGGAUGAACCUCAGAAACCUUUCCUGAAAAGUCUUAGAGACUUCUGUGGUUAAGAUUACCAGUUUCUAGUGUUUUCGGUGUUACUAUUAUUUUUCUAACCACGUUCCAGAGUUCCACUGUUUCUGAAGUCUUGGGUGAUUUUGUACUGUACUGGUAGGGCGAGGCUGAGGGCAGGGAGCCCCCUCAGCGCACUAACCGGUGUCCUUCAGCUUCUGUCUGCAGGACACAGGUUGCUCUGGGCUUCUUACCUUAAGGUGUGGCCACCGUCUUUAUCCCCUGUCCCCUUUUAUCAUGCUCUGAAUGUUCAGUGAAUCCAGAGAUGAAGCAGGGGCUCCCCUAUCACGGCAGCACCCCUGGAGUUCUGCUGUGAGGAUCUCUGGACCCAGUGCUCUAAGGUGUCCACGGCCCUCACGUCUUCAUGCCUAUUUAGUUCUGAGCUCUACCUAGCUCCAGUUUGUUUGUUUGGGCGGGGUCUCUGUUAUGUAACCCUGGCUAUCCUGCUGGAAGUGUAGGCCAGGCUAGCCUUGAACUAGCCUGCCUCUGCCUCCCCAGUGCUGGAAUUAAAGGUGCGCACAUGACCACGCCUGAUUCCCAUCAUUUCAAAACCAGGAUGCUUUUGCUUUUGUUUUUUACUUGCAUAUUCCUUCUUUCAAGGGAGGCAAGGUUCUGUGUGAUUGUAUAUUAAACUACACUUCUGUGACUGUGAAAAAUAAACCAUUUAUUUUCUUGGUAA